UACGUAGGGGGCAAGCGUUGUCCGGAUUUAUUGGGCGUAAAGAGAGUGUAGGCGGUCAGGUAGGUCGGUUGUGAAAACUGGAGGCUCAACCUUCAGAGGUCGACCGAAACCCCCUGGCUAGAGUCCGGGAGAGGAGAGUGGAAUUCCUGGUGUAGCGGUGAAAUGCGCAGAUAUCAGGAAGAACACCCGUGGCGAAAGCGGCUCUCUGGAACGGCACUGACGCUGAGACGCGAAAGCGUGGGGAGCGAACAGG
rnacentral:rRNA from 1 species